rnacentral:rRNA from 2 species
AAGACAUUGUGUCUUCGAGUCGUUGAUUUCACACUGCCGAGAAAAGCCUCUAGAUAGAAAAUAGGUGCCCGUACCGCAAACCGACACAGGUAGUCAAGAUGAGAAUUCUAAGGUGAGCGAGCGAACUCUCGUUAAGGAACUCGGCAAAAUGACCCCGUAACUUCGGGAGAAGGGGUGCUCUUUAGGGUUAACGCCCAGAAGAGCCGCAGUGAAUAGGCCCAAGCGACUGUUUAUCAAAAACACAGGUCUCUGCUAAACCGUAAGGUGAUGUAUAGGGGCUGACGCCUGCCCGGUGCUGGAAGGUUAAGAGGAGUGGUUAGCUUCUGCGAAGCUACGAAUCGAAGCCCCAGUAAACGGCGGCCGUAACUAUAACGGUCCUAAGGUAGCGAAAUUCCUUGUCGGGUAAGUUCCGACCCGCACGAAAGGCGUAACGAUUUGGGCACUGUCUCAACGAGAGACUCGGUGAAAUCAUAGUACCUGUGAAGAUGCAGGUUACCCGCGACAGGACGGAAAGACCCCGUGGAGCUUUACUGUAGCCUGAUAUUGAAAUUCGGCACAGCUUGUACAGGAUAGGUAGGAGCCUUUGAAACGUGAGCGCUAGCUUACGUGGAGGCGCUGGUGGGAUACUACCCUAGCUGUGUUGGCUUUCUAACCCGCACCACUUAUCGUGGUGGGAGACAGUGUCAGGCGGGCAGUUUGACUGGGGCGGUCGCCUCCUAAAAGGUAACGGAGGCGCUCAAAGGUUCCCUCAGAAUGGUUGGAAAUCAUUCAUAGAGUGUAAAGGCAUAAGGGAGCUUGACUGCGAGACCUACAAGUCGAGCAGGGUCGAAAGACGGA